AUCUAUACACAGAUAUCAGAAAUCGGGGAAGUUGGUGUUAAAAUGUGGAGUUGACGGAGCUUACGUGUUGUUGGUUUCUCAUUUUUGGCCGUGGUGUGCGUUGAUUCAAACAAGACCAGCGUUGUUGAUGCUAUCAAGAUUUUAUUGUGUGACCAGUUGAGUGUAGAGUGAAAAAAAGCAGGCACGGAUGGACUUGACAGUCUUAUACGAGCUUCUUUUCGAUGAGGAAAUCUUUCAAACGCUUCAUCUGCCAGACACCGACGGCGAGAAGAAUGGACGUUUGCAGGAUAGCCCACCACAAAAUAUUUCCGUUGGUUUGUUCACUGAUUUGACGAAAUGUCUCUUCCCGCUCCUAAAGAAACAGAUAUAUGGAAGAGUGUCGGCGGCUACAUUUUACAGAGGGUAGGCAUCGGUAGGAUGGAUUUGCAACAACUCAUAUGCAGUUCUGACGGCCUUCGCCACACGCCACACCAUCUCGGCUAGAUGGAAUGUAAGCAGUGCCUGGGUCCAUGGUGUGUUCUCCCGUUUGAACAUCCAGGUGCAGUCGCUAAAACCAGCCUGUCCCCAGCAAACACUGCAAAGCGUGUGGAGUUGGACUGCAUACACAGGAAAUGGAGGCCAGAGGAAUGUGCAGUAAAUGUAAAUUUUCCCUUUCGCCCAUAUCUUUUAGACAUCAAAGUCUGCAUAAGAAAAAAAAAAAAGAAAGAAAAAAAGAGUUUAAUUUGUUCAGCCAAUGAUCUUAUCCACAUCCAUUUGUUUAGACCACAUUGUUCAUUUUAUUUGUUUAUACAGCCGGCAUAUUUACUUGAACAGUUCAGGUUAAGACAUGGUUAUGUGUCACGUCUGUGGCCUUCUAUUUGUUUUCCCCUUUUCUAUGUUCUUCUUUUACUUCUCUCCCAAUUUCGAGCUGUUACUCAUUAUCUGUUCCCCAGCACUAGCACUUGUUUAUUGUUUAGUUAAUUUGUUAGUCCAUUUAAGCCUGCCUGUUUUGUUCUCUUGUUGCUAGUUCGUCAAGUAUAUUCCCCCUGUGUAUGGUUGUGCUCGGCUCUGUUUCGGUCUAGCCUGUUUUCUAUCCGUUUAUAUUCUGUUCUGUUUUGUUCUGCAUUGGAUUUCUGUUUUAUGACUCCUGUCUGGCCUUUUGGACUCUGUCUCUCUGGAUUGUGAUUUCAGUACCUCUGCCCUGUUUGGACUGACCUCCUGGUUUUUUAACUUUGCCUGUUUUGAUUACGCUCUG